CAGGAGCAGCAGCAGCGCGGCCAGCAACGCCGCCAGAAAGAACCAGGGCAUGGCUGGGACGGGACGAAGACCGAGCGCCUGGCUGCAGGAAGCCAGGCAGAGAUGCUGAUGGAAACAUGUCACAAGAGGACUCUUCGUGAUGGAGACAGAUACAGAGGAAGCCAAUGAAAAGGAGAUGGGCCUCUGGGUCCCCGAGGAUUAGCUGAAGCUACGGAGAUGUGCACCCAAGAAUGUUUGGUGUUGGGUCACUCUGAUAACUGCUGGAUGCCUCCUGGCCUGGGUCCCUACCAACAGCCAAAAUCUCCUCUCUCCACCUUUGCCCCUCAAAAGGAAUGGGUGAAGAAGGACAAAAUGGUGAAUGGGCACACUUUGACCAGGACCUGGAAAGAUAGCAACAGGAAUCAGUUCAAUGACUGGAAGCAGUAUGGUACCAACGAAGGGCACUUCAACAGUGGCAGCCACAUGAGUGACAUACCAUUGGCUAAUUUGAAGUCUUAUAAACAGGCGUCAGGAGCUGUGGAGAGUCCCAAGGAACACCAGCGAUAAGAAAUGGCUUGGGACCAAAUGACUUUAGCCUAUGUAGACUUGCUAAUACUGUGUGUGUCAGAGCUUUAUGUAUUUGGUAGAUUUCUAGAACUAUGCUUCUUAUAACAGGGAUAUGCACAUCUUUGCAUUAGCACUAUGAAAGUUAUGAUGUCAUGCGACUUAAGGGAGAAAAUACUUCUACUUCUGUGGUUUUAGUUACCAAAAUUGAGUAAAUUCCACAGCUCGCUCUCUCUCUCUCUCUCUCUCUCUCUAGUGCAAAUAUCCCUUCUCGAGUUUUGUUUUUUGACCCUGGACUGCUGCUAUGAACAACAGAAGAUACACUUGGAGAGUGAGAGGUCAAAGAAUUGCAAUGAUUGAAAAGCAUAUCCAAUUAGAAAACUGUGCUCUUGUUGUCAUUGAUUUGUGCUGGGACCACUAUACUUGACAUCAUACUUCAAGCAACUUAAAUGAUAAACUUAAACCUAUUGUGCUAUUAACAAUGUUAGUGGGCACUUGUCAGUCAGUCAGUGUUUAAGUAUUUGUAAAUAGAAGCAAGUUAUUACUAAUGACUUUUGUGUACCUAUAAUGUUCACCUAAAAUAUAUUGUAGCAGAAUUCUAUGUCUUAUCGUUGUUUCUUUUUUGUUUCUUUUACUUUUUAGCUUAUUUCUUUUAGUGAUGGUGUUUCUGUGUUAAUAGUCUGUCUGACAUACACUGUUCCAAGAAAAUCAAAAUACUUGUGUUUUUCUUAUAAAAAGGUUCUGAAAUCUUGCUUCUUGCAUGACAGCAGGUGUUAUUCAUGAGCUGGCAAAGAAACCCAUCAACAAUGUUUGAACAACAAAAAGACUUAUGCAAAGGCUGGAAAACUCUGAAACUAUACUUUAUAAAAACAUUUUAUUUUUCAAAGCAGCAAAAUUGAAAAUAAUCUCUAAUAAGUAGCAUCUAAAAAGUAAGAAAUGGAAAAGUAAUAUUCUCCAGGAAGUGAUCCAAUCCAAAGUGAUCAGAAAGGUCGUUGUCAUUCAGGCAAUUGAAUGAAUCACAAUUGGAGCACGUGGAAGAAAUAAAAUCAUAAUUUUAAAAUAGUAGUUAUGUUUGAACAAAUGUGUGUCUAUAACUAAGACCGUUUGUAUUGCUGAAAAGGCAGCUUUUGUGUUUAUGCUCAUCUGCGUUAAUGUUGUAGUAAAAUGUGUUUUAGACCAUAGUCACAAAAUAUUUAAUGUGUCUUGCCUUCAUGAUGUAACAGAGCAUUCUCCUGGUAGGCUAGUUGGGGGAAAAUAAAGGGUUAAAUCUCUAAUUAUUGCUGUUUAACUGUUUGUUAUCAUAGUUGGUCAAUGCCUGGAAGGUACCAGCAUCACGUCACUUAAGUGAAACCCAAAGAGUGACUCCUAAUGUUAAUAAGAUCUCAGUUGCACGUACAAAUAAAUUCAAAUUCGAACAUUCUUAGGAGGUUUUUGUUAAGGCAUGACAGAUGACUUAAACAAAUAAAUAGCAUGCAAAAAAAAAAAAAGUCCUUACUGAGAAAA